GGUGGCAGAGGCCUGGGGCACCAGCAUGUCCCCAGGGAGAGCAGGGCUAGAAGCCUUUCCGCCUGCCUGGCUCCUCUCCCCAUCCUGGGUGGGAUGUGGGGUCCGCGGGGGAUGUCACUGUGCGGGGAAGGGGGGAAGGGGCCGUGGUGCCCCAGGCCGGAAGGACAGAGGAAGAGAGGCUGAACCACAGCUGAACCUUCAUCCUCCUGUCUGUCCUCCCAGAGGCCCCGCGGGCAGCCCUCUAAGUAGCACCCCCCACCUCCAUCCCCGCAGAGGAAGGGAGGCCCUCAGGGAAGAAAGAAACUCUCUGGAAACCUUGCCUGUGAAACUCAGCCUUUGUUGCAGAAACUCGACCCCAGCCUGGGCUAAAUGCGGCUACCCUGGGCUCUGGGGGAGCCAGACCCAGGCCCGAGUCUCUCCUUCACUGAGCACGGUGAGCUGAGCCCAGAUCCCCGAGUAGGAGGACCCAAGAGAGCUGCGGGGACAUCCAGCUGGUCCAGCCACCUCCUUGCAUGUGGGCAGGUCACUGGAAGGUGUGGCUGAGACCGAGAGCCCUGCUCUGAGCUGAUGCCUGUCAUCCCAGGAGCCAUUAUGAGAAUCUCCGGGCCCCAGACUCCUGAGCGGCAGGGUCCUAAGAGUCACCGGCUUGACGCUGGCUCCUCGCAGGGGAGGAAGGUGGUUUCCAGCGAUGUCGUGGUGCUCGCCCAGUGCCACACAGCACAUGAGGGCAGAGCUGUGUCCAACAUCCCCCGAUCUCUCCACCUCCUGCAAAGACCCUCGAAGCUUCUCAGGAGCUUGGGUGUGAGCGGCCAAUAGGAUCUCCAACUUCCAGGCAGGAAUCCAGGACUAAUCCUGAUGGAUUAGCAAAGUCAUCCUAUUGCAGAGACCCCCGAUGCCCCACCUAGUUCAGACCCUUGGACUCUAGGACACUGAAAUUCUCUCCAAAAUGUGAACAAUGAAGACGUGCUUGGGAACCAGGAAAGGCUGAGCAGCUGAUGACCAUUUGGGUUUUGUGGCCUCCUUUUCAAAAGGAAAUAAAUACGGCAGAAAUGCUCUUCACAGAAGGGGCUUCAGGAUUUCAUAAAUAGACCAUAAAGAGGCAACAGAAGAACCAGCACAGCCCCAAAUCAACAUCUGUCCCCUGUCAUCUGGCUCUCCCUCCAUCAUCACCAUUCUCUCUCUCAAGAGCGAAACAAGCAUUCUUGUCUUUUGGAAAGAGAACCAUCUUCUCCCCGCCCAGACCUGCUUGGCAUCUUCCAAAGGUGGAGGAGCGUGCAUCCAAUAGGUGGGAUGGUGAGACCUGAUCUCCAUCAGUGGGCAGGGCUAAUAUUACACAUGGUUCUAAAAGUCAGGAUGCUUUUGGCAGCGAGUAACAGAACUUCCAACUAAAGGCGUCUUACACCUUUGUGGCCCAAAGCAGGGCCCAUGGAUCCAUAGCAUGAGCGUCUGCAGCCUGCAGGAAUUUGGAAUCUUAGGUUCUACCUCGGACUUACUGAAUAAGAGUCUGCACUUGCAGUAGAGCCCCAGGUGAUUCAUAUGCAUGUGAAAGUCUGCGAAGUACUAGUUUAAAUGAAAAAGGCUUUUUUUGUGUGUGUGUGUGAACUUUAAAAGAAGCCCACAAAAGACAAUUCCAAUUUGGUUAACUCAUGGGUACAAAGAUGUCAGGCCUCUAUCUCUGCAUCUUGGAGAUUUUUUUGGCUUCUGCCUCAGGGUUUCAAGAUGGCUGCUAUGGCUCCAACAUCAUCAAACCAAGUCCAAAACAAAUGAAAGGAAUAGGUGCUGGAGAAUUUUUCUUAUGUGUACCUUGGAAAAAGCUUUCCCAGAAAUCUCUAGUUGAUGUUCUUUGAGAUCCUAUUGGCUAGAAGUGGCUGGCAGGCCCACUCUUAAACCAGUCGCAAGUGAUGGGGAGUAGGUUUACUGGGAUCGGCCUUUGAACCACUGACCAAUCAAGUGUCUCCUCUUAGGGAUGGGAUAGGGCCACCUUCUCCAUCACAUCAUCAUGUACCAGAGACUUGAAACGUGCUGUCUUACAACCAAUGAAUCAGAUAUGAGUGCCGGCUUAUCUGGGAUUAGGAAACUGAAAGCCACAGGGUUUCUGUGUCCUGCACACAUUCAGAGCAAGCAGAAGCAGAGCCAGCUUUGUGCCAAGGGGCUUGAAUCCAGGGGCAGAGCUCAUCCCACGAUGCUCACACCAGGACCACGGUCCCCUUGAGUGAACUUGCAGGAAACAAAGGCAUUUCCCGUGUUCACUUGUGUCCAACGCUGCCUUGUCUACUUAGCACAAAACCUUUAUUAAGUUAGGGCUGCUUAGCAUAAUGCUCCUUUGCUCCGGCACCCCCGCAGUGAUCAGACUGAGUGCAUCUCGGAGUCUAGCAGGAUUCUUGACGCAUGGCGGGACCUCGUCAUGAUUUGCCUCAUUUAAUGGAAUUGCAUUAUGAUGCUUUGCACACUUCAUCACACCUAACAGUGUUUUGCACAGAGUUGUUUAACAAACGCUUGCAGAAUGACUAUAUGACCAAUCAAUUAGUUCCCUUUCAAUUGAGCACUUAACUUUGUCCCUACAAAUGCAUGAGAUAAAAUGGCUGCAAAAGUGCUUUUAUUUCCUCCCAACCAUUAUCCCAAUCAAAUGCUUCUCUAAGCUUCAGAGAGCAUGAUGAUUUGGUUCUUUUGAUUUUAAGCUCAGAUCUUUUCAGUUUUGAUAAAUGCAGGUUUGGAAAUGUGUGAAAUGUAUCAUGGGGCUGCUGUGAAGCUGUGAUGCGGGUGAACAAUUUAAAAAAUUCUUCAGGAGGUUUGUACGCUUUAGAAAUGAUGGCAAGUUGUGGAACGGGACUCAGCAGAGUCAGUUUUAGGGAAUUUGUUUCAGGGCACUAACUGCAGCUCGGCCAGCCAAGCGGCCAACUUGGAUGUGACUCCCGAGAGACAAGCUGGCCUUGAUGAAUGGGGCCAAGCUCUGCGAGUGCCGGAUUCCCAUCCCAGCGGGGCCACCUAUUUUCUGACAAUUGGCGGCUCUGUUCUCUCCCGGUGUGUGGUGGGACCAGGAGGACAAUUGCCUUCAGCCCUCAGAGGAUAAAGCAAUUGUCCUCUUGACUUCCACGCAGUCCUGCUUCUAAGUGACCUCCUAGGGUUUAUCUAUGGUGAGACCUCUGGGUAUCUAAUCGCUCUCUGCUUUGAGCUGAAAGGAGGACUCUGGGAAACAGAGCUGAGAAGCAGGAAAGGAGCGGGGGUGGGGGUGUCAGUUCUUCCCCUGAGCCCAUUCUCCAAAAGGACGCCUUUGUGACAAUGCUUUGAAGGUAAUAUGCUGAUGUGAGCACAAUUAAGGCAGUGAUGAGAGGGCUUUAGAGAGGACAGCGUGAGAUAAGCAUCCCAAGCCUCGUCCUGGAAACAGAGGGAGCGGCUCUGAGCACUCACCUGUUCACCAGCCCCUGAAGACACAGGUGCCACCCUGACCUCCCCCAGCCCAUGUAGCCCCAUUAGAGCCAGCCUGCACCUCUGAAUCUGCUACUAACCAGAGGGAAAGACUGGGAGAAUUCAUUGCUCCUUCUCAGAGGAGGAAGAUCUAGGGCUGUGAAGGUGGCAGGCACCCUUUCUCCUCUGUGUUCUGUGGCGUGUGUGGUUAACAUCACAGCCGCUGUGGAGACUGUCAAGAGCCCAAGUCCAGGACUCCAGCCCUCAGUCACUAGAGCGGCUUCAGUGCCUGGGAGUUGCCCCUCCUGGGGCGGGGUGGUGGUGGUGCAACGCACCUCCAUUGUUGCUGAGAAGACUAAUCACUCUGCAACAGCAACAGCUGGCUGGGACACAGGUCUUUGAAAUGGGACCGGUGCCAUUCCCGUGUCACCCAGAAACCUCUUAGCAUUCUCACCUCUGCACUUAGAGAUCAGCCAGCACUGGUGAACACCUGUAGCUGUCUCAUUCUGCACCAGGUGACAGCCACACCUGAAAGCCACCCUCAUGUUCACAUGCACGGGCGGUUGAGUUCAGGUUCCAAAAACUCUCAUGAAGGAGCUCAGUACCAUCCGUCAAUUGAAGCGUGACUGUGGUAGAUCCAUUCAACGAACUAGCCAGCCAUGAAAAGGAAGGGAGGUUCUGCAGCAGGGAUUCACCUUGGAAACCUACAGCUUGUAUUUCAUCCACGUGCUAGAUCCAGAAUGGGCGUGGUCAUCGAACCAGCGACAGGACUGUUCAGAAGCAGAGUUAUGGGACCCAGGGUUGAAACCUUCUCGGAAGAGAAAGAUAUCAUAAGGCAGGCACUCAGAAGAGGGCAGAAGAACCACUUCCUCAUUGAAGCUGGAGCUUUGAAAGGAGCAUGUGCAGUGACUCUGCAGCAAGGAGGAUGCAGAGGUUCUUGGACACAGGCUGACUCCGGCCCCUGGAUGUUGUCUGGCUGCAUCGUGAGGACCAGUUGCCUGUGGCUGUGACGGAGGAGGCGCCACCAGGAGCAGCAUCCAUCCUCUGUGGCUCUGACCUCAGGGCUGCAGGGCUGAGGGCUCCUUGGGGCCGGUGGGCGUGGCCCCACAGGGUCAGCCCGGGUCUCACCUGCGGGGGCCAGGCAGAGCUCUCUGGGCCAGGAUCCCACUCGGGCUCCGUCCAGAAGCUGGACUCAGCCAGGAAAGCCAGGCCCACCCUCCUUGCAAACCCUGUUUACAUCCAAGUGGGAUCCUCUGAAGGCCAAGACCAACCGGCACAAAUGGUCUGUUUAUUGAGGACAAGAACAGCUGAGUCCUUCAGGCCGCCUCUUUGGAGAGAGAGGGGCUGGUAGACGGGGGGGGACGCGCUGGCUGCGCUUCCUGCGUCCCGGGCCACUGUCCACCCGGGAAAGUCCUCCAGGUCCGGGCUCUCCUUCCCAGCUGGCAGCGGGGCUGCGGGCAGCUCCUCCGUCCCAGGUCCUGGCAGGGCUGCUCCGCGACAGGUGCUGAGCACCGUGAACUGGGUCUGAGCUGCUGUCAUGCUCGCGGUUGUUAGGACCAGAGGGACACUUCUGGCACUGACUUGAGGACAUGACCAACGUCUCAAAGGGGAGGUGGGGACAAAGGCUCCGUUCAUUGCAGGACACUUGUUUGUUCAACCCCCGACACCGAGCAGCACCAACGUCUCAGAAAUUCCAACGAGCGAAACUUUUUUUGGUGCGUGGUUGGUGCCCGGUCGGCAGAGCAUCUGCACAGACCCGAGGAUCCCUGACUCUCAGCCUGAUGCUGAAUGUCCGCUUUCUCCUUUCUCAUGCCUCUUUCUCUGUCUCCCCCUUUCUGUCAAAUUGCCCUGAACACACGCCUCAUUCUAUGAAACGCAGGCCCCGCGUCUUCUGAGAAGUAGAACAGCCUGACUGAUGAGAGAUGCGUCCUUGAUUAGGCCGCGCGUUUGAAUCCUG